GACACGCGUAACCGAGUUGAGUGCGACUGCAGGGCAAGCACUUAGGAGAGUUGUUUGCAUUCUCUGCCAGGGUAGGUGCCGGAGUUCCCCUAUCCAACGAUGGCACAUUCGUUUUCAACGAGCCGACGAUCGGCCAGGUUGACAGCUACGAUACCGUCUCUGGCUACUUCACAGCUCCAGUUAAUGGACGUUACUUCUUCUAUGUGGCCCUCGUGUGUGCGAACGGAGCGCCGAACGUAGCGGAAAUGUUGCUGCGCGGUGACGUACGGGUCGCCUCCAUCCAUCUGUCCAGUGUCGGAUCUCGGACGGCAGGCAACGCUGGCGCUCUGGUCUCCAUGAGGAAAGGACACGAUAUACGGAUCAGACUCGUCGAUCCAACUGUCUCGUGCGACCCUUUCACGUCUUCAUUUACAGGCUAUUUGUUGCCGCUCAUAUAGGCGUUCGAUAUACGAUCACUACAUCUUGAUUUGCGUCAUGUAUGCUAUAUAUACGUAUGCGAUAGUACUUCAAUUAUCGUGUAUUAAUGUAAACAAUGACGUCACGGUAGAAUUGUUAUGUAUGUUAUAUAGCAUUGUAAUAAUUACACUGCAGGCAAACUUAGUUUAUACGAAAACGUAAACUGUCCGCGUACUGUGGAAAUAGGCCUAUUAAUUUGAAGAAAAAAAUGUACAACCUAAAAUUAGAUUCCUGAUAUGUUCGCGUUUAGAUAGAACGAAAAUUUACUUAUCACAUCAUCCGUUAACAGUUUAUCACAUAUAUCAGAAUAUAAACUCCAAAUGCUAGAGCUAUCAACUGAAAACAGUUUUUCGUAUCAUUAUUGAAAGAUUGGAUUAAUAAAUUGAACACAUUUACCACAAAAACUUCAA